rnacentral:rRNA from 1 species
UUGAAGAGUUUGAUCAUGGCUCAGAUUGAACGCUGGCGGCAGGCCUAACACAUGCAAGUCGAGCGGUAGCACAGAGAGCUUGCUCUCGGGUGACGAGCGGCGGACGGGUGAGUAAUGUCUGGGAAACUGCCUGAUGGAGGGGGAUAACUACUGGAAACGGUAGCUAAUACCGCAUAACGUCGCAAGACCAAAGUGGGGGACCUUCGGGCCUCAUGCCAUCAGAUGUGCCCAGAUGGGAUUAGCUAGUAGGUGGGGUAACGGCUCACCUAGGCGACGAUCCCUAGCUGGUCUGAGAGGAUGACCAGCCACACUGGAACUGAGACACGGUCCAGACUCCUACGGGAGGCAGCAGUGGGGAAUAUUGCACAAUGGGCGCAAGCCUGAUGCAGCCAUGCCGCGUGUGUGAAGAAGGCCUUCGGGUUGUAAAGCACUUUCAGCGGGGAGGAAGGCGRURAGGUUAAUAACCUYRYCGAUUGACGUUACCCGCAGAAGAAGCACCGGCUAACUCCGUGCCAGCAGCCGCGGUAAUACGGAGGGUGCAAGCGUUAAUCGGAAUUACUGGGCGUAAAGCGCACGCAGGCGGUCUGUCAAGUCGGAUGUGAAAUCCCCGGGCUCAACCUGGGAACUGCAUUCGAAACUGGCAGGCUAGAGUCUUGUAGAGGGGGGUAGAAUUCCAGGUGUAGCGGUGAAAUGCGUAGAGAUCUGGAGGAAUACCGGUGGCGAAGGCGGCCCCCUGGACAAAGACUGACGCUCAGGUGCGAAAGCGUGGGGAGCAAACAGGAUUAGAUACCCUGGUAGUCCACGCUGUAAACGAUGUCGAUUUGGAGGUUGUGCCCUUGAGGCGUGGCUUCCGGAGCUAACGCGUUAAAUCGACCGCCUGGGGAGUACGGCCGCAAGGUUAAAACUCAAAUGAAUUGACGGGGGCCCGCACAAGCGGUGGAGCAUGUGGUUUAAUUCGAUGCAACGCGAAGAACCUUACCUGGUCUUGACAUCCACAGAACUUUCCAGAGAUGGAUUGGUGCCUUCGGGAACUGUGAGACAGGUGCUGCAUGGCUGUCGUCAGCUCGUGUUGUGAAAUGUUGGGUUAAGUCCCGCAACGAGCGCAACCCUUAUCCUUUGUUGCCAGCGGUUAGGCCGGGAACUCAAAGGAGACUGCCAGUGAUAAACUGGAGGAAGGUGGGGAUGACGUCAAGUCAUCAUGGCCCUUACGACCAGGGCUACACACGUGCUACAAUGGCAUAUACAAAGAGAAGCGACCUCGCGAGAGCAAGCGGACCUCAUAAAGUAUGUCGUAGUCCGGAUUGGAGUCUGCAACUCGACUCCAUGAAGUCGGAAUCGCUAGUAAUCGUAGAUCAGAAUGCUACGGUGAAUACGUUCCCGGGCCUUGUACACACCGCCCGUCACACCAUGGGAGURGGUUGCAAAAGAAGUAGGUAGCUUAACCUUCGGGAGGGCGCUUACCACUUUGUGAUUCAUGACUGGGGUGAAGUCGUAACAAGGUAACCGUAGGGGAACCUGCGGUUGGAUCACCUCCUU